CGUAGGGACCGAGCGUUGUCCGGAUUCAUUGGGCGUAAAGAGCUCGUAGGCGGCUGUUCAAGUCGAACGUGAAAACUCGGAGCUCAACUCCGAGCCUGCGUUCGAUACUGGAUGGCUAGAGUCUGGUAGGGGGAUCUGGAAUUCCUGGUGUAGCGGUGGAAUGCGCAGAUAUCAGGAGGAACACCGGUGGCGAAGGCGGGAUCCUGGGCCAGUACUGACGCUGAGGAGCGAAAGCGUGGGGAGCAAACAGGAUUAGAUACCCUGGUAGUCCACGCCGCAAACGAUGGGCGCUAGGUGUGGGAGGUCAUCGACUCCUUCCGUGCCGCAGCUAACGCAUUAAGCGCCCCGCCUGGGGAGUACGGCCGCAAGGCUA
rnacentral:rRNA from 1 species